rnacentral:rRNA from 1 species
AAGGCGAGGCCGAAAGGCGUAGUCGAUGGGAAACGGGUUAAUAUUCCCGUACUUGGUGUUACUGCGAAGGGGGGACGGAGAAGGCUAUGUUGGCCGGGCGACGGUUGUCCCGGUUUAAGCGUGUAGGCUGGUUUUCCAGGCAAAUCCGGAAAAUCAAGGCUGAGGCGUAACGACGAGGCACUACGGUGCUGAAGCAACAAAUGCCCUGCUUCCAGGAAAAGCCUCUAAGCAUCAGGUAACAUCAAAUCGUACCCCAAACCGACACAGGUGGUCAGGUAGAGAAUACCAAGGCGCUUGAGAGAACUCGGGUGAAGGAACUAGGCAAAAUGGUGCCGUAACUUCGGGAGAAGGCACGCUGACACGUAGGUGAAGUGAUUUACUCAUGGAGCUGAAGUCAGUCGAAGAUACCAGCUGGCUGCAACUGUUUAUUAAAAACACAGCACUGUGCAAACACGAAAGUGGACGUAUACGGUGUGACGCCUGCCCGGUGCCGGAAGGUUAAUUGAUGGGGUCAGCGCAAGCGAAGCUCCUGAUCGAAGCCCCGGUAAACGGC